rnacentral:rRNA from 1 species
UACAGAGGUCCCAAGCGUUGUUCGGAUAUACUGGGCGUAAAGCGCACGUAGGCGGCGCCGUAAGUCAGGGGUGAAAUCCCGGAGCUCAACUCCGGAACUGCCCUUGAAACUGCAGUGCUAGAAUCUUGGAGAGGCGAGUGGAAUUCCGAGUGUAGAGGUGAAAUUCGUAGAUAUUCGGAAGAACACCAGUGGCGAAGGCGACUCGCUGGACAAGUAUUGACGCUGAGGUGCGAAAGCGUGGGGAGCAAACAGG